rnacentral:rRNA from 1 species
AGAACUUUCCAGAGAUGGAUUGGUGCCUUCGGGAACUGUGAGACAGGUGCUGCAUGGCUGUCGUCAGCUCGUGUUGUGAAAUGUUGGGUUAAGUCCCGCAACGAGCGCAACCCUUAUCCUUUGUUGCCAGCGGUCCGGCCGGGAACUCAAAGGAGACUGCCAGUGAUAAACUGGAGGAAGGUGGGGAUGACGUCAAGUCAUCAUGGCCCUUACGACCAGGGCUACACACGUGCUACAAUGGCAUAUACAAAGAGAAGCGACCUCGCGAGAGCAAGCGGACCUCAUAAAGUAUGUCGUAGUCCGGAUUGGAGUCUGCAACUCGACUCCAUGAAGUCGGAAUCGCUAGUAAUCGUAGAUCAGAAUGCUACGGUGAAUACGUUCCCGGGCCUUGUACACACCGCCCGUCACACCAUGGGAGUGGGUUGCAAAAGAAGUAGGUAGCUUAACCUUCGGGAGGGCGCUUACCACUUUGUGAUUCAUGACUGGGGUGAAGUCGUAACAAGGUAACCGUAGGGGAACCUGCGGUUGGAUCACCUCCUUACCUUAAAGAA